rnacentral:misc_RNA from 1 species
GGUAUUUCCGGUUAGAAUAUCUACAAAGUGGUUUGUAAACAGUGUUUUACUGCAGUCAAGCUUGGAUACCUUACGCAGCAUAGAACAAUCAGUCGGCGACAAAAUAUUUUAGAAAAUGACUGGACGGCGAAAGUCCGCAUAUGAUUUGUGCCUUCACAAACACGAUGUCAUUUGUGAUUUUAUGUACAAUCUGUUGCCAUGUCGCUACUUUGAAAGAGACAAGAUUCAGAGUGAUCCUACUAACAGCAAAGGCAUUAUGUGAGAUAGUGAUCAGACAUGGAUAACUACUUGUCUAGACUUGCCACGUUCUUUUCCUUCCCGUUCACAUCACCUGUUUCAACAACUUCUCUGGCCGAGUCAGGUUUUCAUUAUACUGGAAAUAAAGACGAGGUUGCUUGUCAUCGUUGUCUGUUGAGAUAUAGUGGGUGGCAGAGACAGGACAAUCCAAUGGCUAUCCACAUUACGAUGUCUCCUAAUUGCACAUUUGUGUUAAAGGCAAAUGACGAAGUGUGUAAUGGCAGUCACUGUAACUUUUCUGUUGGUGAUGUAAGUCCACAGGAGAAAAUAGAAUGCAACGGUGGUGCCAUCGGCGGACCAUUGGAUGGUGCUAUGAACAAAACAAAAGGGUUAAUAAAACAAGACAAGACUGUUUCUGGCCAACAGUCAUCAACUGUAAGUUACCGGGAAACUGACGAUUCUUUGUUCGCAACGAGAAAUGCUAAUUUUCCGCACAAAGUGAUUGACUCUAAUCUGACACCAUCAUCAGAUACUAUUACUUCAUCUACGAGUCAAACCCUGACCAAUGAACAUUCCGUUGCAGAAUUCGACGCGUUGAGCCAAAACAUACCUGAUCGUUUAACAGGAGGGCAUAGUGCACAACCUCUUGUGCACACGAAUCGACCGGAAACCGACUCACUGGAACCUGAGAUCCAUAGAUCCGGAGAGGACAUUCCUAAUACUAUAAGGACAGGUCAUGCUCCUGUUAAUAAUCUGGAAACCAAUCAUGACAUUUCCUCUCAAGCAUCGCAAGCGCUGAACGCAGUCAACCCGCGCUAUCCACAGUUUGCAGUACUUGCCGUACGGUUUACAUCAUAUAAAAAUUGGCCAACACAUCUAAGGCAAAAACCGGAGGAACUAGCAAAAGCUGGACUCUUUUAUGAAGGUACCAGCGACUACGUAAGAUGUUUCUACUGCGCAGGAGGUCUACGUGAAUGGGAACCAGAAGACGACCCCUUUAUUGAGCAUGCCAGGUGGUUUCCGUUCUGUGAGUUUAUGAGACUGAUAAAGGAUGACCAGUUCAUUAUGGCGGUUCAAGCAGGAACAAUCAAAGCAGCACCCCAGGAACAAUCGCAAAAACCCGAAGCACCGAAAACGAAAUAUUCGUUCGAUGAUCCAGCUGUCCUUAGUGUAAUGGAAAUGGGUUACAACGAAGAAACCAUAGCGAAGGCCAUCAAAUUAUUCAGCAAACGACAAGGUAAGACACUGAGUGCUGAAAUACUACUGUCUCUUGUUUGGGAGAUAGUGGAAAAUGACGGGGUUGUCUCCGAUGAAGAGCAUGGCAGUAGGGCAAAUGAAAAUGUGCCUGACGUGUUACACGGAGAAGUUGAUGAUAAAAACAGAGACAACGGUGUGUCUUUCGGAGAAAGCAGAGUAGAGGGUUUUAUUGCCACAGAUGUAGUUCAGCUUCAAGAGGAAAACCAAGAAUUGCGAGACAGGAAGACAUGCAAGGUGUGUCUUGACGAGGAAGCUAGUAUCGUGUUCCUUCCGUGUGGUCACCUGGUCACUUGUCCGAUGUGUGCUUCAGCCUUGAGGAAGUGUCCAAUAUGUCGGACUUUUAUUAGAGGAACUGUAAAGGCUAUUGUAUCCUAACCGAACUUCAGUGUAUUUGCGAACUAUCAGUAGUUUUAAUAUCUGCCUCAUUGGCUGAUCACCUCGCUUAUGUUUAACAGCUGUUUAUCGGAAAAGGAGUGGACUGUUCAGAACAUGUUUAACCUCAUAUAUAUAUUAUGUAUAUGUAUUGGUAAAGAAGUAAUAACGAUAAUGUUUAGAAUAUUUCUUUCGGUUUUUGGGGAUUAGGUGUUUAGGUCAUGUGUUUUUUUCGGCGUGUUCUGUAAUAGGUUAGGACACCAGCUAUUAUUGUUCUAGCUAUGAAGUUGUUAGUCUAAUGUAAAACCAUCUAAACGUUCUAUUUAUGUAUUGUAAUAUAGAUACAAUUAACGACUUGAUCAACAUGAUGUGAUAUUCAGACGUGUAAUAGCUUUUAGAUAUUUAGUAGGGAAAGUUUAUUAUUUCAACUGUUGUACAAAAUAUUGGACAGUUUAACAGGUGUUAGCGAAUAAACGCGGGUUAUUGAUGUUAGGUCCAUAUGUCAUCUUUAAAAUCAUUCAUCAAAACCGUGUCGUUACAUACCGGUGAUAUGACCACGCGUGUAUUUCAUACACGCGCAACCUUCUAUGGUUUUAGCGUUGGCCUUCUUAUUUUCAUAAAAUAAUCGUAUUGAGGACGAAUCGUAACAGUAUAUACAUGAAGUUAGAAACGUGUGGACAAGUUAAAGUCAACGGUGAAGACAAUUUUAUGAUGCUACAAUAGAGACACCGGAAACGUUCCUAUUUCCGGGAAUUUUUCGAAAUAUGCACCCUGUACAUCGAAAUACCGAACUCCAGUGUUUUGUCAAGAGAAAUAUGCUACUUAUUAAGCACUUUUGACCUAAAAUACCUCCCUUAAACUUCCAAAGUGCUUGAAAUAAGUUACGUCACAUUUCGCCGUACUUUGACCCGCAUUUUGCCAGUGUUGCAGUUUGCGGCACAGUUCCAUCCCGACAAUACUGUCGCUACCUUCAGUGAAGAUAGCGAACAAUACUUACAGGUAUGUGGUGUGUGGAUUAAAGAUUACAACUUUCGAAAUCCAAAAUGUGCGCUUUCGGUAAACGUAUUUACUCUGCAACCUUCGAUUUUCGCAUGACAAAGCCGAAGGAUUCGGAUGAGCUAUUUGAUUUGUUCAAUGCAUUCAAAACUGACCAUUUUUAAAACAUCUAGACAAAUGAUAUAUUUGCUUUGAAAAUCGUCAAAGAGCUAGUCUUGUGAUCAAACCAGGUUCAUUUACCACAGCUAUGCCAUGGUAUUAAUUUUUAUCUUCAAUCAUAGAUCCAUAGAAUGAAAUAUAGUCUACGUCAUCGGCGAAUCAUGCAUGAGUAUAUAUAGAUUCUAUCUUUAUGUGACUAUGUACCCUUACAUGUACCUUGUGUAUAAUGUAUAUGAUUUGAUUUAUUCCUUAUAUUGAAAUGUGUUCGUGUAACAUUGGCUUCAGUUAACACAUACUAUCACAUCGGUCUAUUUCACGGGACCGAGGUCGAUGCAUAAUAUAUAAGUAUUCAGUGCAUUUUUGUUGCAUUUUGUUCAAUAUUUUUCAAAUUCGAAAUUCGCAACAAAAAGAGAAGAUAAAUUUUGGUCUCAUUUUCUGUACAAAAUCUCGAAACAAUGAACGCCCUU